UAUGAAUAUUUUUAUAUAGAGUACCGAUUCCGUUGUCUACCAAUGUUUUACAAUAUUAUCCACUCGUAUCAUUCAUGGUAUUUGAAUCAGUUUUGAGAGGACCGGACCAACAAGGAUAAAUAAAUACUAUUUAAUGUUUGUCACGUCUAUCUAAAAAAUAUUAUCAGUAUGUUGCCUAUAUAUCGCCCGUUAAUUUCAUUUUCAUCAGCUUCACAACUAUGCAAAAUAUGUAUAUUUAUGAAAGCUGCUUCGUCAUCGUUAUGUCAUGAUAAAGAAAUGAAACAUGCACAAGAAAUAUCCAGCAACUGCAGCCAUUCAAAUCUGCAACCAUUCAAAUUUGUGACUUGAUAGAAUAAAUACGUGUGGUAUACUUCCCAAUAAAAAAUUCUACACACUUGGCACCUUAACUCUUGUUAAAAAACCGACAGUUUCCUUAAUUCUUCUGGCAAAGAUACGCCAGCCAAAUACCAACCUCGUACAUAUAAAUUAGUACCUAAAGUUGAAGACCUUGAGCAUCAAACUCAUCCAGUAUUAAAGCUAUUUAACAACUUUCUAACUUGCAGUACAACACUUCUAACGUGGCCAAUAAGAUUGUGAAUGGUGCGAGUGGACAAAAAAUGAUAUAAGAAAGCAUAAUGGUAGAAUGAAUAGCCAGAGUGGUAUUACAUAGUGGAACAACCAAGCAAACGAAACGAUUCUGAUUCCAUGAAACGCUAAAAAACUAAGCCAGAGAAGGAUUUCGCGAUGACGUACGAGUUGAUUUAAUUGUUUGCAUUUUAUAAACUAUUAUCACAAUCUUCAUCCUGAUCAGAGCAAGAAAAGUUGUCCCACAUCACAAGUCUAUUGUGGCAUUGACUUUUGUGACGCGACUUGCAAUCAAGAUUAUGGGAAAGCCAAGUCCUCACCUCAACUGCCACUCUCCAAUAAUUACUUAUGCUCAAUCAAAACAAACCAAUAAUAAACGCAAAUCAAAAUGACUCAUCAUGAGGAAGUGUAUGUGGCAGCAGCGUGUCAAUGAAACCUCUGAAGAUACGUGAUCCGUCGUUCUUUAAAAACUUUACACAAUUACUACCUCCAAUUUUACACUUUAAUCGCUGGAUCCUACAUAUUAAUAAAAUAUAGGAAUGAUUAGUUUCGCACUAAAUAAAUUGCACCAAUAAAGAAUCUACGACUUUUGUGUUACUAAAUUGUAGCAAAUUACGGUAAAAUUGAUUUCUGGUAAUUUUGAUUGACGAAAAUAAAUUUUAUAUUAUCCUACG